rnacentral:rRNA from 1 species
UGCAAGUCGAGCGAACUGAUUAGAAGCUUGCUUCUAUGACGUUAGCGGCGGACGGGUGAGUAACACGUGGGCAACCUGCCUGUAAGACUGGGAUAACUUCGGGAAACCGAAGCUAAUACCGGAUAGGAUCUUCUCCUUCAUGGGAGAUGAUUGAAAGAUGGUUUCGGCUAUCACUUACAGAUGGGCCCGCGGUGCAUUAGCUAGUUGGUGAGGUAACGGCUCACCAAGGCAACGAUGCAUAGCCGACCUGAGAGGGUGAUCGGCCACACUGGGACUGAGACACGGCCCAGACUCCUACGGGAGGCAGCAGUAGGGAAUCUUCCGCAAUGGACGAAAGUCUGACGGAGCAACGCCGCGUGAGUGAUGAAGGCUUUCGGGUCGUAAAACUCUGUUGUUAGGGAAGAACAAGUACAAGAGUAACUGCUCGUACCUUGACGGUACCUAACCAGAAAGCCACGGCUAACUACGUGCCAGCAGCCGCGGUAAUACGUAGGUGGCAAGCGUUAUCCGGAAUUAUUGGGCGUAAAGCGCGCGCAGGCGGUUUCUUAAGUCUGAUGUGAAAGCCCACGGCUCAACCGUGGAGGGUCAUUGGAAACUGGGGAACUUGAGUGCAGAAGAGAAAAGCGGAAUUCCACGUGUAGCGGUGAAAUGCGUAGAGAUGUGGGAGGAACACCAGUGGCGAAGGCGGCUUUUUGGUCUGUAACUGACGCUGAGGCGCGAAAGCGUGGGGGAGCAAA